rnacentral:lncRNA from 1 species
GGGAUCUGUCAGAUGUGUGGGCUUGCUGUGCUGUGCUCUAAACCCUCUGUACUAAACCAGGUGUAAAAG